GUUAAUGGCUAGAACGAUACGCGAUUGCGUGCGGUAAUGGAGCUAUAAACAACGCAAAAUAGAAAAAAACAUAAAGUUGAUUUCUUCGACACGAAACGUACCUAUUAAAAAUCUCUCAACGCUAUCCUGUAGAGCACAAUAAUUGGAAAUGAGAAAGGGUUUUAUAUUUUUCUGUAACUGCUCAUGUGACACCAGGAAAAAAACGAAAUCGGGAAAUUUUCGUUUUUCUGGGAUAUCUUCGGAAGUAGGUAAUCGGAAUUUUCUUUAAAGCAUGAUAAUGCUGCACUACUACUAAUUGCGCACCUUUCCUCUAAUUUGAUCAUCGUCGUAUCUUUUAUGGUUUCCGAAGAUCCCUGUGAUGGACAUCCUUAUCUUGGACGCAGUGUAGGUAUAUAUGGAGCAUAGGAGACAGGUAGGUAUCUAUAUAAGGUAGAUGGCACUUUUUUAAACUAUUCCACCGCUUUUCCAUGGCGUACAAAUAGGUAGCAUAACAUAAAGAACAAAAACUAUCAUAAUCUCCAGUGACAGCGGGGCUGCCCUGCAGGCACUUGGUCACUGUAAAAUUACUUCUAGGUUGCUUUCCGAAUGUCACCAUGCACUAGAGCAAGCAGCAACACCCUUGAGCUCGCAUGGGUCAAAGGGCAUACACAGGGCUAUAUGGAACAUGAUGUUAGAUUGUCACCAUGGGAGAGAAGCCUUCAAAGUGCCAUCUUGUAGAGAAUGUUACAUAGACGAUGAGGUGACAUACCAUACUUUGUGAAUGUCCCACUAUAGUCCAACUGAAACAAUCCAUGUUAAGGUAUCCUGGCCAGAGAUAGGUACGCGUGGUCCCUCUCCACCUUCCUAUGGUAAUUUAGAAUCCGGGAUUAGCUGUUAGUCAGCGGAAUUACAUUGGUUAAUGGCUUAAUUAUAUCUGACGGAAAUAACUUGAAGAAAUUGUGGAACAGUUUCUGUACGGAUGACAGACUCUUCUAGCACCCAACUACUGGAAAAGAUAUACCAAUUGUUGAUAGUUGUCGGACAUUUGAUUCUGAACAGGGUGCUCUGUUACAUACUGUGUCCUACUUGAAGGUUUAAUUUCACUUAAAGUUGACAAUAGGAACAGUUCUUCCCUAACCUUUCAAUAUUAUCUUUACAGAUUCACAGUAUUUUUUUUUGAGGCAGCUACACGAAUUGUUCUUAAUUGCAAAAUGGAAAUACUCAUAGAAAGAAUCUGGUGAAAUUAUUUUAUUGAACAACAUAAAUUUUUAAACAGAACAACUAUGACCUAAUUUUAGCACAACACAACCAUAACAUAUUAUACAAGAUGCUUGUGGGAUAAAUAACUGUCCAACUAGCUCUAGUUAUCUACAAUUAAUUUUGUAAUUAUACAUAUAAAGGUGAAGGCGGAAUAGGGCUGCAUGUUCAAAUCAAUAAUACAGCAUUCGGUACCAUUUUUCCAGCGCACACUGUAGGAGAAACACGAGCGAAUCUCUGCUUACUUUUCAAAAGCAAAAUGCUAACCGUUAAUGGAGAACUAUGAAACCCUUUCAAGUGAAAUUAUCGAAAGAAUUUCAAUUCUCGAACGAUUAAGAUUUUGUUGGCAACAAUGAAGCUCCAUUCUUAUGGAUUUGGAAAACGAUCGAUAGAUUGACGAGUCGUGCACU